GAUCAUGGCUCAGGAUUAACGCUGGCGGCAUGCCUAAUACAUGCAAGUCGAACGAAAGUAGCAAUACUUUAGUGGCGAACGGGUGAGUAACACGUAGGAAACCUACCUCAAAGACGAGGAUAACUACUGGAAACGGUAGCUAAAACUGGAUAGGAUAUACGAAGGCAUCUUUGUAUAUUUAAAAGUCCUUCUGGGAAUGCUAUGAGAUGGUCCUGCGGCGCAUUAGCUAGUUGGUGAGGUAAAGGCCC
rnacentral:rRNA from 1 species